ACGGGAGGCAGCAGUAGGGAAUCUUCCACAAUGGACGAAAGUCUGAUGGAGCAACGCCGCGUGAGUGAUGAAGGUUUUCGGAUCGUAAAACUCUGUUGUAAGGGAAGAACAAGUACGUUAGGAAAUGAACGUACCUUGACGGUACCUUAUUAGAAAGCCACGGCUAACUACGUGCCAGCAGCCGCGGUAAUACGUAGGUGGCAAGCGUUGUCCGGAUUUAUUGGGCGUAAAGCGCGCGCAGGCGGUUUCUUAAGUCUGAUGUGAAAGCCCACGGCUUAACCGUGGAGGGUCAUUGGAAACUGGGAGACUUGAGUGCAGAAGAGGAAAGUGGAAUUCCAAGUGUAGCGGUGAAAUGCGUAGAGAUUUGGAGGAACACCAGUGGCGAAGGCGACUUUCUGGUCUGCAACUGACGCUGAGGCGCGAAAGCAUGGGGAGCAAACAGGAUUAGAUACCCUGGUA
rnacentral:rRNA from 1 species